GAUGAACGCUAGCGGCAGGCCUAACACAUGCAAGUCGAGGGGUAUAUGGUGCUUGCACCAUAGAGACCGGCGCACGGGUGCGUAACGCGUAUGCAACCUACCUUUUACAGGGGGAUAGCC
rnacentral:rRNA from 1 species